rnacentral:rRNA from 1 species
CCUACGGGGGGCAGCAGUGGGGAAUAUUGGACAAUGGGCGAAAGCCUGAUCCAGCCAUGCCGCGUGUGUGAAGAAGGCCUUCGGGUUGUAAAGCACUUUCAGUGGGGAAGAAAGCCUUGGGGCUAAUACCCUCGAGGAAGGACAUCACCCACAGAAGAAGCACCGGCUAACUCCGUGCCAGCAGCCGCGGUAAUACGGAGGGUGCGAGCGUUAAUCGGAAUUACUGGGCGUAAAGCGCGCGUAGGCGGUCUGAUAAGCCGGUUGUGAAAGCCCCGGGAUCAACCUGGGAACGGCAUCCGGAACUGUCAGGCUAGAGUGCAGGAGAGGAAGGUAGAAUUCCCGGUGUAGCGGUGAAAUGCGUAGAGAUCGGGAGGAAUACCAGUGGCGAAGGCGACCUUCUGGACUGACACUGACGCUGAGGUGCGAAAGCGUGGGUAGCAAACAGGAUUAGAUACCCUUGUAGUC